rnacentral:lncRNA from 1 species
UAAGGGUGUGUUUGGGAGUGACGUGUUGUAACUUUUAAGCUACAGCUGCUGUAGAAUAAAAGUUACAGCUGUGGAGUAGAAGUUGAGAAAAUUUUUUUACUAAACUACCAAAACCCAACUACAAAUGUUACUAGGGGUGGGCAUCAAUCCAAAUCCGAUCGGAUAAAAACUUUACAAUCCGAUCGGAUUUGAUUUGGAUUGGUUCGGAUUCGGAUCAAUCCGAUCGGAUUGCACUUUGCAAUUAAAAAAAAUUAAUUGAACUAUAAAUAAAAAAAUAAAAGUUAAACGACAGCCCUAAACUAAAUCCCUAAAAUCCCAAAUUAGAAAGGAUGAAAGAAGGCCUUGCAACCGCAUGAACCCAGCCAAAGAAUCGAAGAAGCACUUGCAGGCUCCAGCUGCACGAACCCAUCCAAAGAAUUGGAGAAGCACUCGCAGGUUGCAACCUCAUGAACCCAGCCAACGAAUUGGAGAAGAACUUGCAGCCGCACGAACCCAGCCAAAGAGUUGGAGAAGCCGCACAAACCCAACUGAUCUCUUUGAGUCUCAAGUAGUCGACGCCUUAGCUGCACAUCGACGAAGUCAACCGCUGAGCCCGUGAGCUGCACGUUGCUACACUUCCAGCUGUAGCCGCAACCACAAGUUGAUGUCCCAAACCUAGCCGCUGCAUCUAUUUGAUUAUUGCAAGGGUUUCCAACAGAGUUGAUCUAUCAAAGCUUGUAAGUUGCAUAAGAAUAAGAAUAGAUACUUUGAUUUUCAAAAAAUUGUAGAGAUCUGAGUCUUUUGUGCUUUCAAUUUUUGUAUUUCUUUUCUCAAUUUGUUGGCUUGCUGCUUUUUUUUUCUUGUUUGCGUGAUUUCAAUUUUGCCUUGCAACUUGAAAAUGACUUGGAUUCAUUUGAUUUAUUUGAGCAAAUCAGAAUCCAAUUUCAAUAUGAUAUUACCCAUGCGAGAA